UACGGAGGAUUCAAGCGUUAUCCGGAUUUAUUGGGUUUAAAGGGUGCGUAGGCGGCCUGUUAAGUCAGGGGUGAAAGACGGUAGCUUAACUAUCGCAGUGCCCUUGAUACUGAUGGGCUUGAAUGGACUAGAGGUAGGCGGAAUGAGACAAGUAGCGGUGAAAUGCAUAGAUAUGUCUCAGAACACCGAUUGCGAAGGCAGCUUACUAUGGUCUUAUUGACGCUGAGGCACGAAAGCGUGGGGAUCAAACAGG
rnacentral:rRNA from 1 species